AAAGCCUGCCAUUGGUGAGUUUACCAAAGGCAUCUGCCAGUGGGACUUCAGUGGAAUGUGAAACCAAAUCGUUUUCAAGUUAAAGAUAGACACAGUGGACGCCAGAAACUGGAAGCCGGGUUUUUAAACUCCUGUCUCUCCCUAGAAUUUCAGAAUUGGUUAUGAUCUCAGGGGUAAUUAGACAAUUGGCUAAAUCUGUUCUCCCAUGAACGUGAUAGCAAUCACUGUGUGCUCUAGAUGAACUGGAACUAAAAAGGUUGAAGAAAGGAUGCUGUACCUGGUCCAGGAUAAAUAGGAUUUACAAGCCCUUGGAAGCACCUGAGAAGUCUUCAAAUGCCACAGUCAGCUGCUAUUUCAAAGAAAACAAAAUAGAUGGUUCUGGAAAGUCCAUGCUGUCUCUUCAUUGAAUUUUAGCAGCUGGAUUCAUCGCUGCCAUGGCAACAGACCACAUGAUGAGGUGUAUUGGAUUGCUGUGUUGAACACAAGGGGAGGAAUGAACACAGCUUUUUCUUGAAGUUAGAGGUUACUUUGGAGUUUCUUCUGGGGACGUGUGUAAGGUCCGGUGCAUUAGCGUUCAGCAGAUUUAGUGCUCCUGCGGAAGAAUUAGAGGCAUGUUGGUGCGUGAAACUACAAAAGCAGAAUGAUUGAAGAUAGUGGAAAAAGAGGAAACACCAUGGCAGAAAGAAGACAGCUGUUUGCAGAGAUGAGGGCUCAAGAUCUGGAUCGCAUCCGACUCUCCACCUACAGAACAGCAUGCAAGCUGAGAUUUGUGCAGAAGAAAUGCAAUUUGCACCUGGUGGACAUUUGGAACGUCAUUGAAGCAUUGCGCGAAAACGCUUUGAAUAACCUGGACCCAAACAUAGAACUCAACGUGGCCCGCCUGGAGGCGGUGCUCUCCACUAUUUUUUACCAGCUCAACAAGAGGAUGCCAACCACUCACCAAAUCCACGUGGAGCAGUCCAUCAGUCUCCUGCUGAACUUCCUGCUCGCAGCCUUUGACCCGGAAGGCCAUGGAAAAAUCUCAGUAUUUGCUGUCAAAAUGGCUUUGGCUACAUUGUGUGGAGGAAAGAUCAUGGACAAGUUAAGAUAUAUUUUCUCAAUGAUCUCUGACUCCAGUGGAGUGAUGGUAUAUGGAAGAUAUGACCAAUUCCUUCGGGAAGUUCUCAAACUACCCACAGCAGUUUUUGAAGGUCCUUCAUUUGGUUACACAGAACAGUCAGCCAGAUCCUGUUUCUCCCAACAGAAAAAGGUCACCUUAAAUGGCUUCUUGGACACGCUCAUGUCAGACCCUCCUCCACAGUGCCUGGUAUGGCUGCCUCUUCUGCACCGACUGGCAAAUGUAGAAAAUGUCUUCCAUCCAGUUGAGUGUUCCUACUGUCACAGUGAGAGCAUGAUGGGAUUUCGAUACCGAUGUCAACAGUGUCACAACUACCAGCUUUGCCAGGACUGCUUCUGGAGGGGCCAUGCAGGAGGUUCUCAUAGCAACCAGCACCAAAUGAAGGAGUAUACGUCGUGGAAAUCACCUGCUAAGAAGCUAACGAAUGCAUUAAGCAAGUCCCUGAGCUGUGCUUCAAGCCGUGAACCUUUGCACCCCAUGUUCCCAGACCAGCCUGAAAAGCCACUCAACUUGGCUCACAUCGUUGAUACUUGGCCUCCGAGACCUGUAACCAGCAUGAACGACACACUCUUUUCCCACUCUGUUCCCUCCUCAGGAAGUCCUUUCAUCACCAGGAGCUCUCCUCCCAAGGACAGUGAAGUAGAACAGAACAAAAUGCUGGCUAGGGCUGCUCCCGCCUUUCUGAAGGGCAGAGGGAUACAGUACAGCCUGAAUGUGGCAGACAGGCUAGCUGAUGAACAUGUUCUCAUUGGGUUGUAUGUCAACAUGCUCCGGAACAACCCACCAUGUAUGCUUGAGAGUUCAAACCGGCUUGAUGAAGAACACAGGCUGAUCGCCAGGUACGCCGCACGACUGGCAGCAGAAUCCUCCUCAUCACAGCCCACACAGCAGAGGAGUGCCCCUGACAUCUCCUUCACCAUCGAUGCAAAUAAACAGCAAAGGCAGCUGAUUGCAGAGCUAGAGAACAAGAACAGAGAAAUCUUACAAGAGAUUCAGAGACUUCGGGUAGAACAUGAGCAAGCUUCCCAGCCCACGCCAGAGAAAGCUCAGCAGAACCCAACCUUGCUGGCAGAACUCCGGCUCCUCAGACAGCGAAAGGAUGAGCUAGAACAGAGAAUGUCUGCUCUCCAGGAGAGCCGGAGAGAGCUGAUGGUCCAGUUGGAAGGUCUCAUGAAGCUCCUGAAGGAAGAAGAACUGAAGCAGGGAACCCAGGGGGCAAGCUCCCCACGCUCUUCCCCCAGCCACACCAUCAGCAGGCCGAUCCCCAUGCCCAUCCGUUCAGCAUCUGCCUGUCCCACACCAACGCACACCCCGCAGGACUCCCUCACUGGGGUAGGCGGAGAUGUGCAAGAGGCGUUUGCACAAAGUUCGAGAAGGAAUCUAAGGAGUGACCUGCUGGUGGCUGCAGACUCCAUCACCAAUACCAUGUCCUCUCUGGUGAAGGAGCUGAAUUCAGAGGUGGCGAGUGAAACAGAAAGUACUGUGGAUUCCGAGUUCUCGAGACCUCAGUUUGAGGAUCUGGCUCCAUCACCGACCUCUGAGAAGGCUUUUCUAGCCCAAAUCCACUCCCGGAAACCUGGGUACAUUCACGGUGGAGCUGCAAGUACCACGCAUGGUGACAUGGUCCCGGAAGAUGGGGAUCCUUACACGCAACCCGAGGAUGGCAAUUAUGAGAACGAGUCUGUGCGGCAGCUGGAGAAUGAGCUGCAGCUGGAGGAGUACCUGAAGCAGAAGCUGCAGGACGAGGCCUACCAGGUACAGGAGGCAGCCGCAGCCCCGCCCCUCUCCACCGCCCUCCUCCACGGGGUCCUGCCUAUUAAGUGGGCGCCUUCCUCCCUCUUCCUUCCCUACCUUUCCGGAAUACUCUGGAAUUCUCGGUCCACGCAUCCCAGACAACAAUGUUUUAAAUGCCUCUUGUAGCUGUCUGUUCUUCCAAAUUCCCACCUGGAAAGUGAAAGGGGACUUUGUGACAUUGGCAGAAUCAUGGCGCCUACCAAUCCAAACACUUCAGGACUGUGAGAAAAGAAUCUUUUUUUUUUUUUUCUCUCUGAAGUUAAAAUACAGGGGCCUGGGGAUAUUGUCCAGUGGUUAGAGCACUUGCAGAGAAAGUGUAGACUGGAGCUUGGGUCCCCAGAAUCCACUUAAAUGUCAGAAAGGCAUGGCAGCCCCGCCCGCUUUAAUCCAAGCAAUCAGCUAAGAAGUCACUGAACAUAGCAAUUGCAAUCAAGAAUAGUAUAAUUACCUACUCUUGCCAAAAGUAAUGAAUUUGACCCGUGGGGACUCUCCUCUGCCUGCUUCUCCACAGGUGUGUUGUGGGCCUCUGGGGGCUCAGGGAUGUUUGUCUGGCAGAGACCAGCUGGUGCUAGCCCCAGCAGAGGGUUGUUUUCCUAUCUGACUUUUAGCCUAAUGUCCACACAAGCUUCUCCCCAGUCUUAGGUCACUAGUGGCCCUCAGCAGUGAAGGACAGAGAAUCAAUGAGCUCCACCUGUCUCUUGUUUCUGAGUUAUAAAGACUGAGCCUUAAAAUGUUCCCUAGCAACCAUGAUGCUCGAGCUCACUCCAACAAAGCCCUGCCCAAAAACGCGCCUUGAGCCUUUUCAGCUGAGCAACUGCCUUUCAGGAGCAGUGAAAAUGCUUUUCAAGCCAUUGCUUGAAAAAUGAUGGUGAUGAUGAUGAGGAGGAGGAGGAGGAGGAGGAAGAGGAGGGUUAAUGUAUUAAGUCAUACAUCUGUACUACAAAAAUGUUCACCUGACUACAAGGCUGUGGUAAGGGCUUAGUCUUUGUGACUUCUGUGGCUCACCCAUAGAAAGAAACUAGCCUUGUAUGAAGCUGUCAGGGCAUCUCUGGGGCAUCGAAGGGUUGCUGUCCUACAGGCGUGUCCUGUGGGUCUGCACAUGGAGGAGAGACAUAGCUAGGUCAUCAAUAGUCGAUUUGGGCUACCGGAGAUACCUGCUUGUCCCUGCUCUUCAAACUUAUCAUCCGUGUCUGGGGUUUAGUGACAACAGUAACUAUAAUUUUAGAUUUUUUUAGGUGACUUUUCUUCAGUCUACAACAAAUACUACAUUCUCAAUGUUCAUGGUCCAUGAGCAAAUGAAAAGGGAGUUCUAUUAAUGACAAGAUCUAGCUGGAGUUUUGCUUUGAACAAUAAAUUCUCUCUCUUUGCCUUCCCAUGCUCGAUGUUCUCAAGGAAAGGAGUGGGGAAGGGACCAUGUGUUCUCACUCAGUGUGUGUCCUGGAGUAUGGUGGCGUGGUUUUCCUCAAAGGCCGUGUAAGCUGGGGUGACAGGACGGACGGAAUGCAUCUGCGGCUCUCUGGACUCUCUCUCUCCCACUCUCUCUGUCUCUGUGCAUGGCUUCCAGCCAAAUAAUUCACCAGCUUGACUGCCUCACGGACUUGACAUGUCACCUUUCUCGUUUGUGUCCUUUGUCACCCACAGGUCAGCUUGCAAGGUUGAAUGCAAUGCCCUUUUCUCACUCUCCUCUCAAGCAAGCUAUAGUCAGACAGAUGAGGAAAGAUACAUGCCAUCCGGUGGUGGAGAGAGCUGCACCCACCCGACAGAGAGGAGGAAGACUGCGGCCUGGAAGCAGCCUCCCGCUCGCUCGCUGGGAAAGAGGAGCCACCACACCCAGCAGCUCCAACAACCCCCUCCCCUAAAGAAGUGUUCUGACGCCUGUAGUGCAGCUAGCUUUCUGUUCUAAAUUCUGUAGUUCCUAGGUGUGUGUUUUAGAAGGGGGGUGGGGGCUCGAGACUUCUGUUCCUAGAUAAUUUAUCAACUCCAUCUUCUGUAACAUGGCUCAUCCCUGGUUCAAAACAAACACCCACAGGCUGAGAGCCUGCUGCUGUUACACACAGGACAGCAGUAUUAACGAGCAUUUUAAACCUUUGCACACAAUAUUGAACCCGUUCAGUUUACAACGACAAUAUUAAUACUGGUUUGUAGCUAGAAUUUUCAUUUCUGGAUCCUUUGAGAUUUUAGCAAAGAUGGUUUUAUUAUAUACUAUACAUUUUUCUCCCACAGCAACUGGGAGGGAAGGGGGGCAACAAUCUACAAUAGGAUUUGGAUUUUGAGUGUCCAAACUCAGGACCCAGGAGCCAAGAAGGGUCCUUGGCCUACCCAUGUCCCCAAGUCCCUCUGAGAAAUGAUUAAACCUACCAACAGGAAUAAUGGGCUCUUGGGGGCUCCUUUCCAAAGUGGAUUGUUUUCCUUCAACAUACUCUGACUCAGCCAUAGAAUUUAGUGUAAAUACUUUUUCCAAAUAGAUGUCAUAUUCAAAAAAAAAAAAUGAAAGAGAGACAACAUUCAAAUGAUAUAGAAUCUAGUUUUUAAAAUCAGCACAGAUCUUCUUUAAAAACUGUGAACUAUGUUUUGGAAUACUCGUUACUAAAGCUGUUUAUAAACCACAGGUGCCAUAAGGUCCCCCAACGGACUACAGUUACCUGCACUCCUCCACGCCUUGCUCUCCACAGUGUAUCUUUAGGAAGCAUGUCUUACACAGCACUGCUCAUUGACAAGUUCCCUCAUCGGUAGUCCCGAGACCUUCAGCUUUAAAUGUAUGGGCUUAAAGUGCGCUUGCUCCCCUUUUCUUUCUGAGUGGUGAUUGCCUUACCUGAACACCUGGUGUUCUGCAUGCAGUUGUGUGGGCAUGUGAAAGGAGACAGACAAGCUCUUCAGUGUGGUAUUGGGAUGUCACACUCAACUGGAAGCUGGUGUGUAAAAGAACUGUCAAAGACAAGAGAAUAAGAGCCUGUGGACUGAUGGGUCCCCUUCUCGAGGCCCCUCAUUAGAGAGACCUCAAAAAAGCCUCCCUUAGCAAUUCUAGGGAAACUAGAAAAGUAAUUGAUUGUUUCAAGAUCUGAUGUAUAAGAAAAAGAAAAGGCCAGACACCUGCUGGCUGUCUUAAAACUAGAAGCCUCUCUGGAAUGCCUGGUUUUUUUCUUCUAAAAGAGAGAAGGGAACGUCAUUUCAGAACAGAGAUUUGCUCAGAAUGUGUGUGUCAGACAAGCAAUGUUAAUGUCACCCAGAAGUCUUACCAGUGUGGAUUCCUAGGCUCCAACCCAGACCCACUGGAUCAGAAACUCUGGGGUCUGGACCUAGUGAUCCAUGUUUUAAUUGGCCCCUAACAGUUCUGAUGUGUGCUAGGAAGUGGAAAUCAUUGUUCUAGAAUAGAGUUGUAUAGCAAAGAGUGAAAAAGGCCUUAUCCAGGGCUAGGGUGUUAUUCAAUUGGCCGAGGGUUUGCUUAGCAUACACAAAGCCCUUGGUUCAAGCUUCCAGGGCUGUAUAAACCUGGCAUGGUGACACAUGCCUAUGAUCCCAGCACUCAGGAGAUGGAGGCAGGCAGACUGGGAGUUUGAGGUCAUCCUCAGCUACAUAGUGAAUUUGAGGCCAGUCUAGGAUAUAUAACACCCUGUCUUGAAGAAAUUGGGGUGGGAGGUGGUAUAUAGAAUAAAUUAAAAAAGCAUUCUAAGUGGACCUCAGAUUUAAUUUUGCUCACCAGGCUGGCAAAGGCCUUCUCCCACCCCACACACCUGGUCUAUAAUUGAGUGGCUAAGAACUCACUUUCUGACCCCACUGUCUGCAGAGGGCUAUUCAUGUUCUUGCCUCUGCAUUUGGUCAGAAACGAUCUCCAUGGCUGCUCUUUAAACAAAAGCAUUUGCCUUGAGGAUAGCCAAGGACGUGAUUGGCAUCAGUAGAGGAUCCCAUGCUGUCCCUGGGUGUUCUUAGUCUAUUUUCUUCCAGAAAACCCACCUCGCAAAGUUCCCUGAGCUCAGGCUAGCACCAAAGUCGCACAACUGCACAGUUCUCUGAUUUCUUUGCACAGGUGGAUUUUGUUGCGGGUUUCUGUUGGCGUGUCUUAACGUUCAUCUCUCUUCCCCUGCCCAUCGUCCUCUGUGAAAUCACACCUCUCUAGAUGGUGCAGGUGGCCAUUGGUGCCUCCUCCUCAGUACUGAAAAACCACUACAUCCCAGAUACCUGCAUUUCUGUCAGCUCAAACCAGAGUCACAUAGUACUUACAUUAGACCUCAGACCCUGCUGGUGGCCCUCAGUCGCUGGCUGGACUGAACUGACCCAUGUUGUCUCUUUGGUUUUCUACAUUAAAAUGUGUGUCUAAGGUUGAAACCAUUCUACCAAGAACCUUCCCUCGUGUCACAGUUUCCAUUGCCAAGCAUCUCCAUCCCGCGGUAUUGACUCCAUCCUACAAAGCCAUUACAAGAACUCUCUGGAAACCACUACCAGUGAGCAAUUUCUCACUAACCAGCCACCUUUUCUUUUUCUUAGCUCCACGUCAGCACUGAGACCAGACUCAAGCACCCCUGUCCUGUAGCCGAGACAAAAUGGCGUGUGUUGUUUUGGGGUUUUGUGAUUGUCGGUGGAUUUCUUUCCUUGGCUCUCCAAAUUUACUUUUGGGGCCUGUUCUAAAUGCAAACCCAGCAGGUUUCAUCCGUCUGUCCAUUCUGUUCAACUGUAUCUCACAGGGAUGGUUCUUUCUUAUCCCACCAUGAAUUGCACACCCACGUCUAUCGAAGCUGGUGGCCUAUGAAUGAGCAUUGAUCUAGCACAGCCAAGCCUCCCCACAGCAUUGUGGUCAGGGAGGUGGGUGAAAUCUACUGUAUAGGAUUCAGGAACUGGUUGUGGUUUGUCAGGAUGGAAGUUGGGGUAAGUUUGGUUGGUCAGAGGGAGACGUGUUGGAGACUAUGAAGAUGGAUUAUCGGAUGAUCUAUAAUAAGGCAGGGAAGGUUCAUUUGUAAGUAGUAAUAUGAACUGAAUUGCAUUAAGAUUGUGGCCUUUGUGUGAUAUAUAUACUAUGUAUUUUCUUAUAUGCAUGAGCCAAACUGUUGCGAUAUAAUUUAGCACUGAUGUCUGCUCUUAUUUUUGACCAUCUUCGUCCACUGUUAUUAGUUCUUGGCUGUUAAGUGUAGAUAGAUACUGUAAAUAUGGCAGCCUUGGGUUGCUGAGCUCACAUUGGUUCAAUUCCACGCAAGGAGCCACAAGCAAAGAACUCCACUGUGUCCUCAGAAGGUAGGGCAUUUUUCCUUUGAACCAAAAAGAAAAAGAAAAAAGUCACAAGCAUUCAUUGUAUUUUGAGGCUAAUUAACAUAAGACAUUUUAAAUUGUGACUACUGUAAUUUGACCUCAUUUGAAAUAACCAAUCCAGAAACACUAAAGAGUUCACUAUAUUCAUCGUUGUAACAAAACUACUAUAGUAUGUUGUUUUGUUUUGUUGAUAUUGCUGUUAAGUAUUGGGGUGUGUGUGUGUGUGUGUGUGUGUGUGUGUGUGUUGGAACCUCCUGGGGACAUGUUAUAUUUUGAAGUGAUUAAACUAUUUAAUUGUGUGUCUAUAUUUUGGAAUGGAAUUAUUUCUUCAUUAAAAAUGUUUUUUAAAACACUA